rnacentral:rRNA from 1 species
GUGGGGAAUAUUGGACAAUGGGCGCAAGCCUGAUCCAGCCAUGCCGCGUGUGUGAAGAAGGUCUUCGGAUUGUAAAGCACUUUAAGCGAGGAGGAGGCUACCGAGAUUAAUACUCUUGGAUAGUGGACGUUACUCGCAGAAUAAGCACCGGCUAACUCUGUGCCAGCAGCCGCGGUAAUACAGAGGGUGCAAGCGUUAAUCGGAUUUACUGGGCGUAAAGCGCGCGUAGGUGGCCAAUUAAGUCAAAUGUGAAAUCCCCGAGCUUAACUUGGGAAUUGCAUUCGAUACUGGUUGGCUAGAGUAUGGGAGAGGAUGGUAGAAUUCCAGGUGUAGCGGUGAAAUGCGUAGAGAUCUGGAGGAAUACCGAUGGCGAAGGCAGCCAUCUGGCCUAAUACUGACACUGAGGUGCGAAAGCAUGGGGAGCAAACAGGAUUAGAAACCCUGGUAGUCC